rnacentral:sRNA from 17 species
CUAGCUUUUAUGAUAAGUGACGCAGUAUCCUAGUCAGAUAAACCUUUUUGAAGGCGGGCCUAAAAAUCCGUCAAGGGCACAUCGAUGAAGUUCCUGGUGCUGGCUAUCGACGCCCAGUCGGGGGCUGGUACUGGGAGUUAAGGGGGUGGGGCGACCUGCAAUGGCAUGUGGGCGUUGACCCCGCCCCCGUGGAGACCCAAGUGCGUGGGCAGCCAUGCCGGCUUUACCGGGUGGUCAACUAUGGCUUGGGAUUAAACCUGCAUGUGGUUAAAAGCUGCGUGCAGCGUAGCCUGCCUUGAGUGGUAUGGGUGGAUAUCGGUAUUACAUACGCGUCCGCCAUGGGCCCGUGGACGGCCGUGUGGUGAUUGAAACCUAUACUGCAAAAGAGGCUAGAAAAGGUGUAAUCUGUCGAGGAAAACUCCUAGGCUGUCUGGGGUACCAGGGCGGGCCGGGGAUUAAAGUGUGGACUAAGUGGUAAUCUAGCCCCGGUGCGGCAACGAUCGGAGACAGCUUUAAAGGGAAACCGCCGGUUUGGCGACAGCCGGUAGCUGUUUGGGAAAACCUGCUAGACCUAAGCCACAAUAUUUACCCGGUCCGCUGUCACUUAUCUAAUAAUACCG